GACAGAGGAUGCAAGCGUUAUCCGGAAUGAUUGGGCGUAAAGCGUCUGUAGGUGGCUUUUUUAAGUCCGCCGUCAAAUCCCAGGGCUCAACCCUGGACAGGCGGUGGAAACUACCAAGCUGGAGUACGGUAGGGGCAGAGGGAAUUUCCGGUGGAGCGGUGAAAUGCGUAGAGAUCGGAAAGAACACCAACGGCGAAGGCACUCUGCUGGGCCGACACUGACACUGAGGAGCGAAAGCGUGGGGAGCGAACAGG
rnacentral:rRNA from 1 species